rnacentral:lncRNA from 1 species
CUGGCCUUGAGCCAUAUGCACCCCUGGUAUUAGGAUGAAGAAGCAAGAAAAUCACAUGCAGAACAAAAUCAGUUGGGGAGAUGGACCUCAGUCAUUACUAACAAUAACGUCUUCAUGCAAUAUUUAAAAAGUCAAAAGGAAAGGAAGACGUUCUACAAACAAAAUGAGGACAUGUUGGCCCUCAAAGUCCAGCUUCGAAGGAAGGUGUGUCUUGUUCCAGGGAGCUGCUGGCUCUGUGGAGCAGAAGUUCCAAGACUCCAGUAGGAAGCAAAGGAAAGGGACAGCGUGGAGACAGAGUGGAGUCUCCCAGCUUCUGCAGCAAAGGACGAGGCUGCCUUGCACUUGGGCGUGCACAGGUCAGAACUUCAGCCUUCCAUUAGUGACACCAGUGGCCCAGCCGGAUUAGCAUUCCUGAAGUCUUGUCCUGUGCCUCUCUCCAUACACAGCUGCCCACACACUCACGCACUGCCACAUGGGGCACACACACUCCUUCGUACCCCUACACCCCACACCACCUCCUCACUCACAGCCACUCAUACACCUUGUACACACAUACAGUCACCCGCAGUCAGCACUGACGGGCACACUCGCUACAAACACACCCAUCAGGUAUGCACACAUAACCACAGUCACACACACAGCACAUACACUCACAGCAGUCACACCCCACACCUGCCAACACAGUGAACAUUUCUAGAGAUCUGAACUCACAGCCCCUUCAAGGCUUUCGUGUGGCCCUGGGCCUGAAGUCUGCGAAUGUCUCCACCUUGGCCAAACUUCAGAGGGACAACAAUUUCCAGUCUGUGAAAGAAGCUAUGCCAUCUGAAGGUGGGACCAAGAGUGGCAUCGUGGGGGCCGCACGAUAGAUAAUGGAACCUGGCGAUCCCAUGGGAAGUUCCAGCCCUCGCAGACAUGGGCCUGUGAAAGUAUAAGAUUAUAAUCCCGAAUCAUUUGGCCAUGACCCCCUCCUCGGGGGAGAGCCCAAAUCCUACCUAUCCCACCCCAGCAGGAGGGCCCUUAGCUGCUUUCCCUGGAGUGUCUACUGUUUCUGAAAGUCUUGGCUGCCAGGUUGUGACUAUCUGGGGGGUGGGGGGGCUUGUGUCACUAGGCUGCCUUUGAACUUUCCCUGCCUCAUUAGAGGCCUCUCUUUAACUUGCCGUUUUGUAGGGCUAGUGUCUGUUCUUGAAUGUUCCGUCCCUCUGUGUCUACAGCACUACCCAGGGACAUUGCUUCCAGUUAUUCACAUGGCACUGAAGGUGGACCACCAGCAACAUCCUUGGAGAAAGCCAUAGAGGCUCCUCUGUAAGCAUCCUGGCUAUCUCCUUUGAGUUAGCCUGAGCUGAACCAUCUUAUGACCCUGAAACCAGACUGUUCCUUUGCUGUAUCCCAUGGAAGCCAGAGGAAGAUGACAUGGAAGUAAAGUUGUAUGUUUCCCUAAAUCCACUUAAAAAUCACCUCCACAGCUAUGAUCCUGUAGCCAGGGAUGGAACCUGUCAGUCCUUCAGUGGGGCUGGGAAUCUCUUUCUCCCAUCCUAGCUUGAUCCAAGACAACAGGCCCAUUGGUCCUGGUCCAGAUGGCUCCUGCUCAGGGUUGUCACCAAGCUGCCAGAAUCCAAAAGAAAGGACACCAGUUGGGGUCUGGGCUGUGUCAGAUGACUGCCCCCCAGUGUCUGUAUUUAAGUUGAGCACAAGGGAUGAGGUUUGAGACAAGGAAGAGGGAUACAGUCACUAUCGGGGAGAGCUCUGCAGAUGGAGGGAACUGAGAUGGACCCUGCAGGAGGACGUGCCUGGAGACAGUCCCCGGGCUAGUGGGCUGGAGGACAGCCUUGGGAACAAAGUACUGACCAUGAGCACCACCUGUGAGACUAGAACGUUCACAUACACAGCCACAUUUGUGGAGCAGCCCCAGUUCCUCCAACAAGGUCCAUGCUGCAUGAUAGAGAAUCCUACCUGGCAGGCAGCUUUGCCUGUAGGACGCAUGGCUGACAUUUGUUGGCUCUUGCAGCCACCUGCUGGUCUGCAGUACAUCUUUGGGUAAAGUAGCAACAGCCCUCUUCUUAGGGAACUUUCCUAGAGGUGGAUGGAAGCAGCCAGGCAAAAUGCCCAUGUGAUCUGAACCUGGCUGGGACCAGGACCUGCUGGUCCCUGGGGUGGGCAAAAAUAGAACAGCCUUCCUGUGGCCCUACUGAUACUUAUCCACAAACUUACUAGUGAUGGACAGAAUCCUUAAACAAGGCUGACUUUGCAUUGUUCUUGUAGGAGGUCAGGCAGGGGUCAGAGGGGAACUGUUGUGAGUUAGACAGAGGGAUUGAUCCUGGAUCUGACACUAGUAGGAUGGCCUGUGACAUCCUCAGAAGCAUGAUGUGACCUCUGGGAGGGAAGGACAGUGGACUUGGAAGGGAAUCAGCCCCCGAGGCAGAGAUGGAUAGCAGGAAAACUGAGGCGUAUCCAUAAGAAUGGCGGGUACAGACUAACUGUGAGGGCAUCAGGAAAUCCAGAUGCCUUUACUCCCGAGGGACCCAAGGUGUCUAUGACGCAGGACAGACAGAUAUGGAAAGUUGUAGGAACACGGGAGAUAGUGUACACCUGAGGGUCCUCCAGCUGGAAACCAAAUUCCCGCACAAUCGGUAUUUACUGCGAAGGUUGCCAACACAAGAGUUCUUUUCUAGAGAGACAUUUUCAGCUAAGGUUAAGGUAGCAGUAAGGUAGGGUUAAGGCCUGAAUGUUUAAGGCCUGGGCAGGGCCUUUUCCCCUGGGUAUUUUCUGGAAAUCACAAGACUGAACUUUAUUCACAGUGGAGACUCCCUCUACCUCCCUGCAUUGCUGUGAUCCUGGGUCAUCUCAGCCUAGUCCUGUCAGGUGCCCCAGGAGCCACCCUGGGAUCACAGGUCUCACAGUCACCUUUACAGGCAAUAGAUUCGAACCUGCCAGGAUCCUCCUGAUGGUGAAGACAGUAACAUGGAACCUCAGAGAAGCCACACCCAAGGGUUGUCACUCUCUCCCGAGGGCCUUUUUCUUACUCUUGUGCUUAAGAACUAUGUGGAAAGUCACCCCGACUCUGUCCCAUACUCACUCAUUCUGAUGUUCUUUUCUGUUCAGAAUAAACUUGGAGUUGAUGUCCCUAAAAGAUGAGGG